GAAACCGUUCAGGGGUAAACCUGAGAAACCCAAAAGAUCGAAUGGGGAGAUUCAUCGUCGACGAAGCCGGCUCCCGUUGGUGCGCGAUACCCCGAUUGAGGCCUUCUUGGUUCCAAGGUGAGGGCACGCCACCAUCGGCGAACGACCGGAGACGUAGUCGUGCAAUUCUCCCUUAGUAGAACGUCGCGACCCGUUGUGUGUCGGUCUACGGCCUGAGCCGUUUGUCUGUCGCGGCGCCUUCGUACGCUCGCGGCAGAGGUUCGGUCGCCCGGCCGGCUGCACGACGGUACUCUGACGGUAUCGGGCCGCAACCAAUCCAUUUUCGAAUGUGUGUGCGUCGGGCCCGCCGCAAGCUCGGACAGAUUUACCCGGAGUGUGCGGACCUAGUGCCCUCCCCGGGUCUGGCCAGCUGUUGGCAGGCGGUGUCCUUGGACUGGCCAAGCUAUGAAUUACCGGUCGGCGACGCUACUGCUUUGGGUACUCUCAGGACCCGUCUUGAAACACGGACCAAGGAGUCUAACAUGUGCGCGAGUCAUUGGGACAUGUAAACCUAAAGGCGCAAUGAAAGUGAAGGUCUUCCUUAGCGUCGACCAAGGGAGGAUGGGCCGCGUUACGUCCACGGCCCCGCACUCCCGGGGCGUCUCGUUCUCAUUGCGAGAAGAGGCGCACCCAGAGCGUACACGUUGGGACCCGAAAGAUGGUGAACUAUGCCUGGUCAGGACGAAGUCAGGGGAAACCCUGAUGGAGGUCCGUAGCGAUUCUGACGUGCAAAUCGAUCGUCGGAACUGGGUAUAGGGGCGAAAGACUAAUCGAACCAUCUAGUAGCUGGUUCCCUCCGAAGUUUCCCUCAGGAUAGCUGGCACUCGCUCGUUCCCUCGUGAACGCGUGCGAGUUUCAUCUGGUAAAGCGAAUGAUUAGAGGCCUUGGGGCCGAAACGACCUCAACCUAUUCUCAAACUUUAAAUGGGUGAGAUCUCUGGCUUGCUUGGAUCAUGAAGCCAAGAGAUUUUGAAUCAGAGUGCCAAGUGGGCCAAUUUUGGUAAGCAGAACUGGCGCUGUGGGAUGAACCAAACGCAGAGUUAAGGCGCCUAAGUCGACGCUUAUGGGAUACCAUGAAAGGCGUUGGUUGCUUAAGACAGCAGGACGGUGG
rnacentral:rRNA from 1 species